GAUGAACGCUGACAGAAUGCUUAACACAUGCAAGUCAUUGGCGAAGCUGCGCUUGCGCAGUCUAGCCAAGGCGGACGGGUGAGUAACGCGUAAGGAACUUGCCCUGCAGACAGGGAUAACAGACGGAAACGACUGAUAACACCUGGUAUUGUCAGGCUGGCGCAUGCCGGCCUGAUGAAAGGAGACGCUGCAGGAGAGCCUUGCGUCCUAUUAGCUAGUUGGUGGGGUAACGGCCCACCAAGGCGAUGAUAGGUAGCCGGCCUGAGAGGGUGAACGGCCACAAGGGGACUGAGAUACGGCCCUUACUCCUACGGGAGGUAGCAGUGGGGAAUAUUGGACAAUGGGGGCAACCCUGAUCCAGCAAUUCUGUGUGCACGAAGAAGGUUUUCGGAUUGUAAAGUGCUUUCAGCAGGGAAGAAGAAAGUGACGGUACCUGCAGAAGAAGCGACGGCUAAAUACGUG
rnacentral:rRNA from 1 species